CUACGGGUGGCACCAGUGAGGAAUAUUGCACAAUGGGGGAAACCCUGAUGCAGCAACGCCGCGUGGAGGAUGACGCAUUUCGGUGUGUAAACUCCUUUUAUCUGUCAAGAAAAUGACGGUAGCAUAUGAAUAAGCACCGGCUAACUCCGGCCAGCAGCCGCGGUCAUACGGAGGGUGCAAGCGUUAUUCGGAAUCACUGGGCGUAAAGGACGCGUAGGCGGGUUUUUAAGUCAGGUGUGAAAUCCUACAGCUUAACUGUAGAACUGCACUUGAAACUACUGACCUAGAGUAUGGGAGGGGGAGGUGGAAUUAGUGGUGUAGGGGUAAAAUCCGUAGAUAUCACUAGGAAUACCUAAAGCGAAGGCGAUCUCCUGGAACAUUACUGACGCUAAGGCGUGAAAGCGUGGGGAGCAAACAGGAUUAGAUACCCUCGUAGUC
rnacentral:rRNA from 1 species